UGAUCUAUGUUUUUAGUGCGAAUAAAACUAAAUUAUUCCACUUUCUGGCCCAACGUUUCGCUAAAACAUUUUUAGCAUCUUCAGGGGCAAUCCAGCUUUAUUAAAUCUGCCACAAACCAAAAUUACAAAGGCACAUUGUAAUUAAAAAUUAAUGAAUAUAGCAUACAAACAUACAUAUACAUAUAUGGAAUUAAAAAUUAUAAACAACAAUUUGAGGACAAAAAACUCACAAUGUUUAAGAACUUUGAUUAACACCUAAAUACAGCGCAUCUGUACCAUCUUUUGUGGUAGCUUUGUCAAUACUAAAAUAAUAAACAUUUUUAUUUGUAAUCAUAAACGAGAAAUGUAAGCGGCCGCAAUGUUGUCCGUAUCUUCUUUUCUGUUCAUUGUCUUUUCCCCUCUUUGCAUUAUCCUAAGGCUUUCUAGUGUAUAUCGGGCAUUUUGGAAGAAUA